rnacentral:lncRNA from 1 species
UCUUCCCCCACCAGAGGGGUGCAUUUGUUACAAUUGAUGGCCCUUUAUAGACACACCAUCAUCUCCCAAAGUCCAUAGUUUACAUCAGGGUUCACGCUUGAUGUUGUACAUUCUAUGGGUUUGGACAAAUGUUUCAUGAUGUGUAUUUACCAUUAUAUACCAUAUGGAGUAUUUUCAUUGCCCCAGUCAAUUUCAUUCUUUAUAAAAGACUUGUCUUCAGAGAACAGAUUGUGCUGCAGAUUCAUUGAAGUAGCAUGUGGAGGGGGAAGAGCUCUUUAAGUCUGAGUUGAAUCUAGUGAUUCUCAAGAAAACAGACCAGACCCUUGAAGAUUUUCCUGUCUUUCUCUCUUAGGGGACCAGUCAGCCAUCAAUGAACUCAUGCAGAUGAGAUUGAGGUCUGGGGGCACUGAGGGUCUCUUGGCUGAAAAAUUGGAGGCUUUGAUCACUCAGACUCGAGCCAAACAGGCAGCUACCAUGAGUGAAGUGGAGUGGAGAGGGAGAACGGUUCCAGUGAAGAUUGACAAAGUGCGCAUUUUCUUAUUAGGACUGGCUGAUAACGAAGCAGCUAUUGUCCAGGUGAGG